rnacentral:rRNA from 1 species
CAUAGCGUAUAUUAAAGUUGUUGCAGUUAAAAAGUCUCGUAGUUGGAUUUCUGGGAGGGUGCCGAUGUCCACUUAACGUGUGCGCAGCGGCGCCCUCUCAUCCUUCUGUUAGCGUCUCUUGGCAUUCAUUUACUGGUGGCGGGCUCAGAUAUUUUACCUUGAGAAAAUUAGAGUGUUUCAGGCAGGCUAGGCCGGAAUACAUUAGCAUGGAAUAAUAAUAUAGGAUCUUGGUUCUAUUUUGUUGGUUUCUAGAGCUAAGUUAAUGAUUAAUAGGGACAAUUGGGGGCAUUCGUAUUAACGCGUCAGAGGUGGAAUUCUUGGAUUGCGUUACGACGAACUACUGCGAAAGCAUUUGCCAAGGAUGUUUUCAUUGAUCAAGAACGAAAGUAAGGGGAUCGAAGACGAUUAGAUACCGUCGUAGUCUUUACCAUAAACUAUGCCAACUAGAGAUCCGCCCUCGUUUUUUUAUGACUGGGUGGGCACCUUAUGAGAAAUCAAA